UGAGCUUCGCAAUAGAAUGUCAAUCCUACC
rnacentral:piRNA from 1 species